CACAAACGCAAGGCUACCACCAUGGUUCUUAAACUGGACAUCAAGAAAGCCUUUGACUCUAUUUCCUGGCCUUUGCUUCUGAAAAUCCUUAGGCACCGUGGCUUCCCUGAGCGCUUCUGCUCCUGGAUUGACGAUCUGCUCUCCACGGCCAGAACUGCAGUUCUUCUUAACAGGGUUCCUGGUAACUGGAUUCAGUGCAGAAAUGAUCUCCGUCAGGGCGACCCCAUUUUCCCUUACCUUUUCAUCAUUGUUGCAGAUAUCUUCCAGCAACUAAUC
rnacentral:rRNA from 1 species